rnacentral:rRNA from 1 species
UACAGAGGUCUCAAGCGUUGUUCGGAUUCAUUGGGCGUAAAGGGUGUGUAGGUGGCGCCGUAAGUCGGGUGUGAAAUUUCGGAGCUUAACUCCGAAACUGCAUUCGAUACUGCGGUGCUUGAGGACUGGAGAGGAGACUGGAAUUCAUGGUGUAGCAGUGAAAAUGCGUAGAGAUCAUGAGGAAGACCAGUGGCGAAGGCGGGUCUCUGGACAGUUCCUGACGCUGAGGCACGAAGGCCAGGGGAGCAAACGGG